ensembl:lncRNA
AUGUCCCAUGAAUAUAUUUUCAGAUUUCUACAAUAUGCUACACUUCAAACUUCAUUCUCCAUUAUGAUUCUCUGCUCCAUGAACUGUUUUUAUGAAGCAGCACAAAACCGAUUAAAAAGGUUUGUGCAUCAAAACUCAAUAUCUACUGUCCACUACUCCCAAAAGAUUUCUGCAAUACGCUACACUUCAAACUUCCUUCUCCAUUAUAUGAUUCUCCACUCCAUGAACUAUUUUUAUGAAGCACACAACCAAUAAAAAUAAAAGGUAGAAUAUAAUAUCCUUUGUGCUUAUU